AUUGAACGCUGGCGGAAUGCUUUACACAUGCAAGUCGAACGGCAGCACGGAGAGCUUGCUCUCUGGUGGCGAGUGGCGAACGGGUGAGUAAUAUAUCGGAACGUGUCCAAUAAUGGGGGAUAACGAGUCGAAAGAUUCGCUAAUACCGCAUACGCCCUACGGGGGAAAGCAGGGGAUCGUAAGACCUUGAGUUAAUGGAGCGGCCGAUAUCUGAUUAGCUAGUUGGUGAGGUAAAGGCUCACCAAGGCGACGAUCAGUAGCUGGUUUGAGAGAACGACCAGCCACACUGGAACUGAGACACGGUCCAGACUCCUACGGGAGGCAGCAGUGGGGAAUUUUGGACAAUGGGGGCAACCCUGAUCCAGCCAUUCCGCGUGAGUGAAGAAGGCCUUCGGGUUGUAAAGCUCUUUCGCAAGGGAAGAAAACUUAUGAUCGAAUAAAUCAUGAGGUUGACGGUACCUUGAUAAGAAGCACCGGCUAACUACGUGCCAGCAGCCGCGGUAA
rnacentral:rRNA from 1 species